GGUUAAACUCAAAUGAAUGACGGGGCCCGCACAAGCGGUGGAGCAUGUGGUUUAUUCGAUGCAACGCGAAGAACCUUACCUGGUCUUGACAUCCAUAGAUUCUGCAGAGAUGUGGGAGUGCUUUCGGGAACUAUGAGACAGGUGCUGCAUGGCUGUCGUCAGCUCGUGUUGUGAAAUGUUGGGUUAAGUCCCGCAACGAGCGCAACCCUUACUCUUUGUUGCCAGCGAUUUGGUCGGGAACUCAAAGGAGACUGCCGUUGAUAAAGCGGAGGAAGGUGGGGACGGCGUCAAGUCAUCAUGGCCCUUACGACCAGGGCUACACACGUGCUACAAUGGCGUAUACAAAGGGAAGCGAAGGUGCGAGCUGGAGCGGAUCUCAUAAAGUACGUCUAAGUUCGGAUUGGAGUCUGCAACUCGACUCCAUGAAGUCGGAAUCGCUAGUAAUCGUAGAUCAGAAUGCUACGGUGAAUACGUUCCCGGGCCUUGUGCACACCGCCCGUCACACCAUGGGAGUGGGUUGCACCAGAAGUAGAUAGCUUAACCGCGAGGGGGGCGUUUACCACGGUGUGAUUCAUGACUGGGGUGAAGUCGUAACAAGGUAACCA
rnacentral:rRNA from 1 species